UGGGGAAUAUUGCACAAUGGGCGAAAGCCUGAUGCAGCAACGCCGCGUGAGUGAUGAAGGCCUUCGGGUUGUAAAGCUCUGUCUUUUGGGACGAUAAUGACGGUACCAAAGGAGGAAGCCACGGCUAACUACGUGCCAGCAGCCGCGGUAAUACGUAGGUGGCAAGCGUUGUCCGGAUUUACUGGGCGUAAAGGAUGCGUAGGCGGAUUUUUAAGUGAGAUGUGAAAACCCUAAGCUUAACUUGGGGACUGCAUUUCAUACUGGAAAUCUAGAGUGCGGGAGAGGAGAAUGGAAUUCCUAGUGUAGCGGUGAAAUGCGUAGAGAUUAGGAAGAACACCAGUGGCGAAGGCGAUUCUCUGGACCGUAACUGACGCUGAGGCAUGAAAGCGUGGGCAGCAAACAGGAUUAGAUACCCUGGUAGUCCACGCCGUAAACGAUGAGUACUAGGUGUAGGAGGUAUCGACCCCUUCUGUGCCGCAGUUAACACAAUAAGUACUCCGCCUGGGAAGUACGAUCGCAAGAUUAAAAACUC
rnacentral:rRNA from 1 species